rnacentral:rRNA from 1 species
UGGGGAAUUUUGGACAAUGGGCGAAAGCCUGAUCCAGCAAUGCCGCGUGUGUGAAGAAGGCCUUCGGGUUGUAAAGCACUUUUGUCCGGAAAGAAAUCCUUGGCUCUAAUACAGUCGGGGGAUGACGGUACCGGAAGAAUAAGCACCGGCUAACUACGUGCCAGCAGCCGCGGUAAUACGUAGGGUGCAAGCGUUAAUCGGAAUUACUGGGCGUAAAGCGUGCNCAGGCGGUUUGCUAAAGACCGAUGUGAAAUCCCCGGGCUCAACCUGGGAACUGCAUUGGUGACUGGCAGGCUAGAGUAUGGCAGAGGGGGGUAAAUUCCACGUGUAGCAGUGAAAUGCGUAGAGAUGUGGAGGAAUACCGAUGGCGAAGGCAGCCCCCUGGGCCAAUACUGACGCUCAUGCACGAAAAGCGUGGGGAGCAAAACAGGAUUAGAUACCCUGGUAGUCCACGCCCUAAACGAUGUCAACUAGUUGUGGGGAUUCAUUUCUUAGUAACGUAGCUAACGCGUGAAGUUGACCGCCUGGGGAGUACGGUCGC